rnacentral:rRNA from 1 species
CCUACGGGAGGCAGCAGUGAGGAAUAUUGGUCAAUGGGCGUGAGCCUGAACCAGCCAAGUCGCGUGAGGGAAGAAGGUUCUAUGGAUUGUAAACCUCUUUUGUCGGGGAGUAAAAUACGCCACGUGUGGCGUUUCGAAUGUACCCGAAGAAAAAGCAUCGGCUAACUCCGUGCCAGCAGCCGCGGUAAUACGGAGGAUCCGAGCGUUAUCCGGAUUUAUUGGGUUUAAGGGGUGCGCAGGCGGCAUGUAAAGUCAGAGGUAAAAUUCAGUGGCGCAACCCCUUCGAGCCGUUGAAACUGGGUUUCUUGAGUGAGUGAGAAGUAUGCGGAAUGCGUGGUGUAGCGGUGAAAUGCAUAGAUAUCACGCAGAACUCCGAUUGCGAAGGCAGCAUACCGGCGCUCAACUGACGCUCAUGCACGAAAGUGUGGGUAUCGAACAGGAUUAGAUACCCCAGUAGUC